UGAAACUCCUUCCAGCUGUGUAGAUCUUUGAUGUCUGAAAAUACUCCUACAUGCAGACCAAUCAUCAGACCUGUUCCUCUCGAAUGCAUUGUGGGAUUGAGUUUGUUGUGUUUGGUGUGUUUCAGGGUCCUGUCGGAGGAAGCGGCAGCAGUGGAUUCCCAGGCUUGAGAGGCGAUCCGGGGCCCGAGGGACCCCGCGGCUUUCCUGGCAUUGUGGGACCUCAGGUAACGUCCCGUCAGGUCACGCCUCAGAGUUUCUGUAAGCUGAUUGGCUGGACAAUGAAGAUCUUGUUCUCUCAUUGGCAGGGCCUGACUGGAGGGGCGGGGCCUCCUGGAAUGAAAGGUGAUAAGGCUGAACCUGGACUGAGGGGUGACCCGGGAGAGACUGGAUAUCAGGGCGACAAGGUGAGCGUCAGGAGGAAACCGUAUGCUUGGUUUCUGUCUGUCUGUUAAAGCUCUUAUUGUAUUCCCUUGUGUCUGAAAGUUUGUGCAUGAUAGGAAUCUGCUUCAGGAUUCUCUUAAGAUGCAUUAUUAGGCCUUUAAGAUUUACGCUUUUGAAUUGCAUGGUUAAUAUCCAUUCAUAUAGUAAAAAACGUAUAUACUUCAUGUGUUACAUGCUUGUCAUUAUGAAUAAAUGGAGCGGGUCAGAUUCUUAAAGUUUUUGGAUGUUUAUUAAUUAACAUCCAAUUUAAUUAAUUUAUUAAUGUUUGAAUUACAAAAUAUUUUUUAUUAAUAUAUAUAGAGAGAGAGUAGCUCUGUUAAUUGUGAAAACAAUCAAAUAUGUUUCAUUAAAAAAAUGUGAACAUGAUUAAAAUCGACUAGUCGGGGAACGUGCAAUAUUCAAUGAGUUAAAAUGUAUGAUUUUGAAGCAAAUUGGAUUUAUAAAUGAUAAAUAUAUAAAGCUGGUUAUUGUGUGUAUAACACAUACAGUAUAGUAGAUCUAUUUCAGAAAUCUGACCGGUUUCAUUCAUGUGUGACUGACAAAUAUGAAUCAUUUUUGAGUUUAAUGAGUUUAAUCAGUGGAGUGUCAAUGGAUGGAGAUUUUAUAUUUAAUUCAAAUACACAAAUUGUACAUAUUUCUUGAGUGAGACAUUUGAAGAAAUCAUGAACGGCUGGUUAAGUAAUGAAGUUUGUUUGGUCUGAAUGUGUGAAGAUGGAUUGUGUGGUUUAUGCAGACAGCGAGGAGACUAGUGUUUUGUUUGUGUCUCUCUUCCAGGGGACCGCUGGGAAUCCAGGUCCGACGGGACCACGCGGAAAACCAGGACCUCUCGUAAGACCCUCUGUGUUCAAUACAGAUACUGUUGAUUGUCAGGAAACCAGCAAAUCUGAGAGACUGAGCUCUGAUCUCUUGAUGUAUGUGUUUAUAUAUGAUGUUCAUGGUUGAUAUUCUCUCUCUGAAGGGGAAACCAGGAGACCCGGGACCACAGGGGCCUCCGGGGCCGCCAGGACCUGAGGUGAGAACCAGAGCUCAUGCACUGAUUUUGAGAGGACUGACAAUAAUUGUGUAGGUUAUGUUUAAACUAGCUGAAAGAUUUGGAGCAACACUUUUAUUAGAUCAGUGAUUAGAUCCAAACCUUCCUCAAUACAACAAAGCAUUAAUCAAUUUAGAGCUGUUUAUAGUCUCCAGUAAAUAGCCUGAAUUGUGUCUGUUUUGGAAGGCAUGUCUGCUUCCUUUUUUAUUUGGGUUAGUUAUUGCGUUUCUCUUUCAUUAAUUCAGAACAUGAUCCUCGCAGCUUUAUCAGAGUAAACGCAGAAGCAUCUGUGCAGCAAAUGGAUGAAACUCAUCCAGCGCAAGAGUUUAGCGUGUCGCGAGCUAGUUUGAUAGCAACUAGGUGGAUAGGAGGGUGCCCUCUAGUGGCACUUCUGUGUUAUUUCAUGCUCAUGUCAUGCUGUAGCUACAUUCCUGCCUGCAAAUUAAUGUAAUUAACAUUUCUAACGAACUGUUGUGGUCAGCAAGAACAUGACAUGACUUAUUUUUUUUUUACUUUUGUU
rnacentral:lncRNA from 1 species